rnacentral:rRNA from 1 species
ACGGGAGGCAGCAGUAGGGAAUAUUGCACAAUGGGGGAAACCCUGAUGCAGCGACGCCGCGUGAGUGAUGAAGUAUUUCGGUACGUAAAGCUCUAUCAGCAGGGAAGAUAAUGACGGUACCUGAAUAAGAAGCCCCGGCUAACUACGUGCCAGCAGCCGCGGUAAUACGUAGGGGGCAAGCGUUAUCCGGAUUUACUGGGUGUAAAGGGAGCGUAGGUGGUCUGGCAAGUCAGAUGUGAAAGCCCGCGGCUCAACUGCGGGACUGCAUUUGAAACUGUCAGACUGGAGUGCAGGAGAGGAAAGUGGAAUUCCUAGUGUAGCGGUGAAAUGCGUAGAUAUUAGGAGGAACACCAGUGGCGAAGGCGGCUUUCUGGACGAUAACUGACGCUGAGGCUCGAAAGCGUGGGGAGCAAACAGGAUUAGAUACCCUGGUA